GACUUAUUAACUGCAGCCACCUUUGCCAACAUUUCAAACAGUAUUCACAUCAGGCAGAAAAACGCUGGUAGCUUCCCUCCCAAAGGCUAGCAUUGGCCCAAAGCCACCCUCCCAAACAGAUGCCUGACCCUUUUCUGCCAGGGCAAUAUCCAUAAAGUGCAGUGCUGAAGCGUAGGCACAUGUCUAUUAACCUUGGGUCUCUUCUUGGGUCAUCCUCACACACACACCCUUUCUUUUUUUUAUUCCAUUUAGGGAGCUAGUUCUCUGGUACAAUUCAGUCCCUUUAUGCCAUAUAAGGGAUAUAAAGGCAACAGUUUUCCUCACGGGUGAGUAACCAAGCCUAAAGGGGUUCCCUGGAAAACAGCUAGCCUACACCACUCCUCUCUAGCACAGGGGGUGUGCCUGGAGUAGGAGGUAAUGUGGCUGGAAUAUGCUGCCCUCUAGCUAUUUUCAGCUGCUGAGUAGUCCCUAGGGCACCACUGCAGCUGAGUGUAAAUAUGAACAGCCUUGAGUCUCCUCUAAUUUAGAACAGAAGACAGAUAGACAGGCCCCUGGAUGCACAAAGAAUAUAAACUAUAGGUGGCAUAGUCACUUUUGCUCCCCUGCUCCUUAACUCCAUAUAGCAUACCUUGGUUAAAAUGGAGACUCAGGCCCAAACCCUUAUUGUCUCAUCUAUUUUUUCCUCUUAUCCCCCCCCAUCUAUCUCCUUUUUCUGCAGCCUCUGUCCUUCAAUUUCUUAGCCUGCAUCUCUUUCCCCACUUUUCUCUGCCCCACUCCCUAUCCAUCUCUUUCCUUCUACAGCUGCAGAUGGUCCAGGGAAGGUCUUUAGUCAUAGCAUGAGUUCUUCUGUCAGCACUGGCCUCUGUUUGUUGCCCAGAUGUGAGGAUCUGGCUCACAAGAAUGAAGUCAUCAUGGAAGGAAGGGCAAAUUGUUAACACCUAACCCACCAUAUGUAAUGCAUCCCAGCUGCUCCCUGGAAAUUGAUCAGGAGACAAUCACCCCCUCACUCACCUCUCUCUUCAGGCCAUCUAGGACAAUGGGUGUUAUGAUCAACAGGGGCCUUUCUUUAAUCAAAUAUAUUGAAGCCAAUAUCCUUGUACAGGUGUAACCAAGAGCAGAUUAACUCUCCGAAUGCACUGAAUCAAAUACCCCUAAUGUUGUCUGCUGGGGGAGAUUUUCAGCUCCAAGACUUAAGGUGGUGGCCUUGUGAAAAUGACUGCCAUUAUGGGUAGUUCUUCCCUAGGGCUUCAACGCAGCAAGGUACAGAAGCACAUAACUAAUUGUAAGCACACAAAUUGUAAGCAAUUUGAUCUACAGGUCUCUCCCAGGGAAACUGAAAUAUACCUACCAAGGAUGAAACAAAUAAUGCAGUCACUUCAUCAGAACAGCUUUCUUCAUAGAGAAUAAGGGUAUGUCUAAACAGGAAGUGUAAUUUGCCACCUGGAUAGACAUACCUGCACUAGCUGUGAUCGAGUUAGCACGCUAAAAACAGCAGCGUAACUGCAGCCACAGCCGCACGAACUGCAUGACAGGCUAGCAGCCCCAAGCACGAUCCAGUCUGAAACUGCAGGAUUUCAAGUUCCCCAGGAACAAUGGUGGAUGCAGAACUGGCUGAGAACAAAUCAGAGUCCAACUACGAGGAGAAACCUAAACUGCUCCUCCACUCAUCUUCCUCACUCAGUGUCCAAUCAGGAGGGAUCAUCCCAGCUGAUGAGUCCAGCCUGAAUCAAUUAUUUCACCAACCCAUAACAAGUGCUUCCUCCCUCUAAUAAGAUGCUGUAAAGAGGCAUCUUCCACGCCCAGAAAAAUGGGUUGUGGGCAGGGAGGGGAGUAGGGGGAAGGGGCUAGAACCAUGUGUGUUUAGAUUUGUCACCCAAGACCUUCAUUCAAUACCAUUAAGAUUUUAAAACAGGAAAGGCUAAGACCAUCUCCCAAAGCGUGUUCCAAGGCAAUUUGUCUGCACUGCAGGGACAGAAACAUUGCUUCAGAGGGUCUUGCCUCUGCCCUCAGAGAUGACCUCUCCAGGUCGAGCCCGCAUGUACCACUCCACCCAGGCACCAUCGUAGACAGCCACGUCUGGCUUGCCACAUAGGUACGCCCCCAAGGCCACAUGGCAGGCAGUGACUCCUGAGCCACAUGUGGCUACCACUGGCUUUGAGAGGUCCACUUUCUUCUCCUGGAAUAAGCUGCGGAUCACUUCAGGGGUCUUCUCAAAGCCAGCUUCUGUGAGGAAAUCCAAGAAGGGGAUGUUCAGGGAGCCAGGGAUAUGACCAGGCUCAAUUCCUGGAGGAAGAGGAAGGAGACCAACGCAGACAGGAGUUAAUCUUUACAUCACGGAGGGUUCCACCACACAACCCCUUCUUGAAUACCCUCCACGCAUACUCAUGCCACAGCAACCCUCCCUCACAGCCACUGCACAAGGUUAUGUGAGGGUUAACCUCUGUAUGUUUGACCACAAGGCAUCAUAUCAAAGCUAAAUAUUAUUAAAGGGAUGGGGUGUGUGGAAGCUACCUUCUCUUCUGCCUCCCCAGGUCCCCGAGAGAUUGAGUGCACUGCUGCCUCUGAAUCAUGGGACUCUGCAUUCGUACUAAAA